GACGCAUGUCCAUUGUGCGUGUGAUAACUAUCUCAUGCCGCAGAGACUACUACUGUAUUUUUACCAUUUUUCUUUAACCUCAUAUUUGGUGUAAAAUGCUGAUACUAUGUGAGAAUGCAUAAAGCGAUGAAAUAAUCUCUCUGGAAAAACUUGGCUGGAACUUGAACUGGUGGAUGGUCCGCGGGAGAUUUGUGGGAACACAAGCCGGUCCGUGGGUCAAAAAAGGUUGGGGACCACUGGUGUAAAGGAUCUUUGACUAACAAACAUAUCGCUUGUUUUUGUGACCUCAUAUCAGCUCAUGCUCCGGCUUCCUUGUCAUUACCCAGCCAGACAUGAGUCUUAGUCUCAGACAACGAGGAUCAGGUUCUCCAGCUCAUCUGCCGAGCGAAGCAGGAAGGCCGCAGACUCCCGGUAACCAGCGAUGAGCUGCCUCACUGCCGUGACCUCUGGAGGACUGAGCUGGGCCGACGCGCCACCCCCGCCGCCUCCCUGACCAUGACUGUUGGAGCUGGAGGAGGAGGAGUUUGGAGCGACGGACUUCAUACUCAGGUCUGUGGGACCUGCAGACACAAGUGUAAUCAAAUUAGGAAGUAUUUAUAUGUUAUAUUAUAUUUACAGUAUAUGUUUUAAUUGCUAAACAUAUAGACUGAAUAUUGCUUGUAGCUUGUGCAUACACUGUAUACAGAAUGUAAGUAAUUAUUAGCAGUAGGAAUGUCUGAUAAUAUAGGCCGACCGAUAUUAUUAUCUA